rnacentral:rRNA from 1 species
ACGGAAGGCAGCAGUGGGGAAUAUUGCACAAUGGGGGAAACCUUGAUGCAGCGACGCCGCGUGAGUGAAGAAGUAUUUCGGUAUGUAAAGCUCUAUCAGCAGGGAAGAAAAUGACGGUACCUGACUAAGAAGCCCCGGCUAACUACGUGCCAGCAGCCGCGGUAAUACGUAGGGGGCAAGCGUUAUCCGGAUUUACUGGGUGUAAAGGGAGCGUAGACGGUUCUGCAAGUCUGAUGUGAAAGGCAGGGGCUCAACUCCUGGACUGCAUUGGAAACUGUAGAACUAGAGUGCCGGAGAGGUAAGCGGAAUUCCUAGUGUAGCGGUGAAAUGCGUAGAUAUUAGGAGGAACACCAGUGGCGAAGGCGGCUUACUGGACGGUAACUGACGUUGAGGCUCGAAAGCGUGGGGAGCAAACAGGAUUAGAUACCCUGGUA